rnacentral:rRNA from 1 species
GACGAACGCUGGCGGCGUGCUUAACACAUGCAAGUCGAACGGAAAGGCCCUGCUUUUGUGGGUGCUCGAGUGGCGAACGGGUGAGUAACACGUGAGUAACCUUCCCUUGACUUUGGGAUAACUUCAGGAAACUGGGGCUAAUACCGGAUAGGAGCUCCUGCUGCAUGGUGGGGGUUGGAAAGUUUCGGCGGUUGGGGAUGGACUCGCGGCUUAUCAGCUUGUUGGUGGGGGAGUGGCUUACCAAGGCGUUGACGGGUAGCCGGCCUGAGAGGGGGACCGGCCACAUUGGGACUGAGAUACGGCCCAGACUCCUACGGGAGGCAGCAGUGGGGAAUAUUGCACAAUGGGCGGAAGCCUGAUGCAGCAACGCCGCGUGCGGGAUGACGGCCUUCGGGUUGUAAACCGCUUUCGCCUGUGACGAAGCGUGAGUGACGGUAAUGGGUAAAGAAGCACCGGCUAACUACGUG